CAUGUGCUCUGAGGAGUCAGUUCCCUCCUCUCUUACAGCGAUGCAGUCACUCUCAACCCCUGAUGAAAGACGGCUUUGGUCCACAUCUGGCUGUGUUUACACCAACGGUAUCUGGACUGGGCCCGACGGCAAGCCGUGUUUACCUAAACACUAUUUUGCUCAUUAUGCUAAGUUGACUUAUGGGUUAGACCAUGUGUCAAAAGGGGGAAUGUUACGUGCACUUAAUGAGACGUGGUUUACAAAAGGGUUCACAGCAUAUGCACAAAAAUUUUGUUCUGUAUGUGUCACCUGUUCUACUCACAAUGUAGGCAGGCCCGUGGGCGUGACCAGCAAGGCUGCACACCCACCACCAACCCGCCCAUUUGAGCACAUUAUGAUGGAUUUUGUGGAGUUGUCUCCAUCUGAAGGUUGCAGCCGCCCUCCCAAAACCAGCCGAAGGACCGCUCUACAAACUGAAACCUGGUGACUUUGUGGUGGUGAAAGACUUCAGGAGAAAAAA